CCCUUAGAUGUUCUGGGCCGCACGCGCGCUACACUGAUGAAUGCAACGGGCUCUACCCUUGACCGAAAGGCCCGGGUAAACUUGUGAAACUUCAUCGUGAUGGGGAUAGAUUAUUGCAAUUAUUAAUCUUCAACGAGGAAUUCCUAGUAAGCGCGAGUCAUCAGCUCGCGUUGAUUACGUCCCUGCCCUUUGUACACACCGCCCGUCGCUCCUACCGAUUGAAUGGUCCGGUGAAAUCUUCGGAUUGCUGACCAAGAUCCAGCAAUGGAGCUUGGUUGCGAGAAGUUGAUUAAACCUUAUUAUUUAGAGGAAGGAGAAGUCGUAACA
rnacentral:rRNA from 1 species